rnacentral:rRNA from 1 species
CCCAGACAGCCAGGAUGUUGGCUUAGAAGCAGCCAUCAUUUAAAGAAAGCGUAAUAGCUCACUGGUCGAGUCGGCCUGCGCGGAAGAUGUAACGGGGCUAAACCAUGCACCGAAGCUGCGGCAGCGAACGUAUCACUUAAAGCGAUUCAGCGGGUUACGAUUGACGGAGCGAAGCGACGUCAAAGCGUAUACAAAGUCGAGUCGGUUUAAGGAUACGUUCGUUGGGUAGGGGAGCGUUCUGUAAGCCUGUGAAGGUGUGUCGUGAGGCAUGCUGGAGGUAUCAGAAGUGCGAAUGCUGACAUAAGUAACGAUAAAGCGGGUGAAAAGCCCGCUCGCCGGAAGACCAAGGGUUCCUGUCCAACGUUAAUCGGGGCAGGGUGAGUCGACCCCUAAGGCGAGGCCGAAAGGCGUAGUCGAUGGGAAACGGGUUAAUAUUCCCGUACUUGGUGUUACUGCGAAGGGGGGACGGAGAAGGCUAUGUUGGCCGGGCGACGGUUGUCCCGGUUUAAGCGUGUAGGUGUGUGUUCCAGGUAAAUCCGGUUCACUUUAACACUGAGGCGUGAUGACGAGGCACUACGGUGCUGAAGCAACAAAUGCCCUGCUUCCAGGAAAAGCCUCUAAGCAUCAGGUAACAUCAAAUCGUACCCCAAACCGACACAGGUGGUCAGGUAGAGAAUACCAAGGCGCUUGAGAGAACUCGGGUGAAGGAACUAGGCAAAAUGGUGCCGUAACUUCGGGAGAAGGCACGCUGACA